CCUACGGGAGGCAGCAGUGAGGAAUAUUGGUCAAUGGACGAGAGUCUGAACCAGCCAAGUAGCGUGAAGGAUGACUGCCCUAUGGGUUGUAAACUUCUUUUAUAAAGGAAUAAAACGAGGCACGUGUGCCUUUUUGCAUGUACCUUAUGAAUAAGGAUCGGCUAACUCCGUGCCAGCAGCCGCGGUAAUACGGAGGGUCCGAGCGUUAUCCGGAUUUAUUGGGUUUAAAGGGAGCGUAGGUGGGUUGUUAAGUCAGUUGUGAAAGUUUGCGGCUCAACCGUAAAAUUGCAAUUGAUACUGGCAGUCUAGAGUACAGUUGAGGUAGGCGGAAUGCGUGGUGUAGCGGUGAAAUGCUUAGAUAUCACGAAGAACCCCGAUUGCGAAGGCAGCUUACUAAACUGUGACUGACAUUGAUGCUCGAAAGUGUGGGUAUCAAACAGGAUUAGAUACCCCAGUAGUC
rnacentral:rRNA from 1 species